GGAGAAAUGGCCGAGUUGGCUGAAGGCGCUCGCCUGCUAAGCGGGUAUGGGGGUUAAACUCCAUCCAGGGUUCGAAUCCCUGUUUCUCCGCCA
rnacentral:tRNA from 1 species